UAUGAUUGGGGUGAAGUCGUAACAAGGUAGCUGUAGGUGAACCUGCAGAAGGAUA
rnacentral:rRNA from 1 species